rnacentral:rRNA from 1 species
UACGUAGGGGGCAAGCGUUGUCCGGAUUUAUUGGGCGUAAAGAGCGUGUAGGCGGUUAGGUAGGUCCGUUGUGAAAACUCGAGGCUCAACCUCGAGACGCCGAUGGAAACCAUCUGACUAGAGUCCGGAAGAGGAGAGUGGAAUUCCUGGUGUAGCGGUGAAAUGCGCAGAUAUCAGGAAGAACACCCAUGGCUAAGGCGGCUCUCUAGUACGUGACUGACGCUGAGACGCGAAAGCGUGGGGAGCGAACAGG